rnacentral:rRNA from 1 species
GAUGAACGCUAGCGGCAGGCCUAAUACAUGCAAGUCGAGGGAGAAUGUUGGAUUCGUCUGACAUGAAACCGGCGCACGGGUGCGUAACACGUAUGCAACCUACCUUUAACUGGGGUAUAGCUCAGAGAAAUCUGAAUUAAUCCCCCAUAAGACUACGACAUGGCAUCAUGAUGUAGUUAAAGCUCCGGCGGUUAAGGAUGGGCAUGCGGUACAUUAGCUAGUUGGUGAGGUAAUGGCUCACCAAGGCUACGAUGUAUAGGGGGUCUGAGAGGAUGAUCCCCCACACUGGUACGGGGGCACGGACCAGACGCGGACGGGGGGCAGGAGUGGGGAGUGUUGGGCAAUGGACGCAAGUCUGAACCAGCCAUGCCGCGUGAAGGAUGAAGGCCCUAUGGGUCGUAAACUUCUUUUAUUAGGGAAGAAAAAACGGGAUGCGUCCUGUACUGACGGUACUUAAUGAAUAAGGAUCGGCUAACUUCGUGCCAGCAGCCGCCGUAA